rnacentral:tRNA from 1 species
GUGGGCGUAGCUCAGUUGGUAGAGCCCUGGAUUGUGGUUCCAGUGGUCGCGGGUUCGAAUCCCGUCGUCCACCCCA